UAAAUAUUUCCUCAUCUAAAAGAUAUUCAUGAAAUUGACGAUGAGGAGGAGGAAGAGGGGAGGAGGAGGAGGAAGAAAAGGAGGAAGAGGAAGAGGAGGAGGAUAAUGCUGCUGCUGCUGCUGCUGCUUCUGUCAAGGAGUUCUGUGACCAGUGGGAGAGACUGAUACCUUAACAGAAUAAAGUAUGAUUACGACACCAAAAUCUACAAAAUGUGAAGGAGUAAAGGAAGACGGUCAGGUGAGAACCAACUGUGUUUAUUCCAGAGAUGUAGAUAUCCAGUGUGUUAAACUCAAUGGAUAGCAACAAAAAGCUUCUUCAUCUCACCUACCCAUUAUGGAAAACAAAGGAUUAGUUUUUACAUAAAAACAAAUUCACUAAUGUAAAAUAAAGAAUGUUUCCUAUCAACAACGUGUUCUCUUUCUUUCAAAAGUGCUAAGCACCAUCUCAUUUUAUAUAAUACAUUUCUGUCACUGAUCUGUCUUUCAUCUCCAUAUAACAGAAUAUUACAUUUCCUUGUAUUUAGUUUUUCAAGUGACUUUUAAAGAAUGAAACCCUCUAUUUUCACUUCACUGCAGGGAGAGUGUUAAAGUGUUUACUUUUAACUCAGCUACCGUAGGGGGUAAAGGCUAUUUGGACAUCCUUACGUACAACCAGGGCACAUGGACAAAUGAAGGAAGGGAACUGGCAGCCAGAGAUAUGUUUUAUCUAUAGUGACCCAACUGAUUUUGAUACAGGGCUUUGAUAUCAUGCUGGAUAAAAAUUAGAAUUAUUAGUUUCUUUUUGAGAGAGGAUCUGGGUGAGGGUAGGGAAGUAGAACUUGUUCUAAACUACAAAUAUUGAAAAACACAUUUAA
rnacentral:lncRNA from 1 species